GCAGGCAAAAUUGAACUAUAUCGUUUACAGCUGCACACAUGCUGAUAAAAUUAUAAAAAAAAGUAAGGAAAUGGAUACUAUAAAAAUCAGAAUAUGGUUUAAUUUUCCCUGCUUUUAAUCUUU